rnacentral:pre_miRNA from 1 species
CAAGUACUCCCUCCAUCCAGAAUUACUUGUCGUCAAAAUGGAUGUGUCUAGAACUAAAAUACAUAUAGAUACAUCCAUUUCAAUGACAAGUAUUUCCGGACGGAGGGAGUACAAG